rnacentral:lncRNA from 1 species
GGUUGCCCUGUUGUUUGUCUUUUAUGUCGUGGAUGCUGCUUAGAGCUUCGCCUUCAAAGGGGACUUCUCUUAGGAUGAUCAGUCUUCACAUUGUCAACACCCAAUUUCGUCCGGGUGACUAAAUAAUAGAACUUGUUUUUUCUUGUGUUAUUUUACUUUUAUUUUUUCAUUUUUUUUAUUUUGUUCUACUAUUUGGUAUUUGAUUUAGCUUUC